rnacentral:rRNA from 1 species
UACGUAGGGGGCAAGCGUUGUCCGGAUUUAUUGGGCGUAAAGAGCGUGUAGGCGGCCAGGUAGGUCCGUUGUGAAAACUCGAGGCUCAACCUCGAGACGCCGAUGGAAACCAUCUGGCUAGAGUCCGGAAGAGGAGAGUGGAAUUCCCGGUGUAGCGGUGAAAUGCGCAGAUAUCGGGAAGAACACCCGUGGCUAAGGCGGCUCUCUGGGACGGUACUGACGCUGAGACGCGAAAGCGUGGGGAGCGAACAGG